rnacentral:rRNA from 1 species
AUUGAACGCUGGCGGCAGGCCUAACACAUGCAAGUCGAACGAGUGGCGGACGGGUGAGUAAUGUCUGGGAAACUGCCUGAUGGAGGGGGAUAACUACUGGAAACGGUAGCUAAUACCGCAUACCAUCGGAUGUUCCCCGAUGGUAUUAGCUAGUAGGUGGGGUAAUGGCUCACCUAGGCGACGAUCCCUAGCUGGUCUGAGAGGAUGACCAGCAACACUGGAACUGAGACACGGUCCAGACUCCUACGGGAGGCAGCAGUGGGGAAUAUUGCACAAUGGGCGCAAGCCUGAUGCAGCCAUGCCGCGUGUGUGAAGAAGGCCUUCGGGUUGUAAAGUACUUUCAGCGAGGAGGCGUUACCCGCAGAAGAAGCACCGGCUAACUCCGUGCCAGCCGCCGCGGUAAUAC